CCUACGGGAGGCAGCAGUAGGGAAUAUUGCUCAAUGGGGGAAACCCUGACGCAGCAACGCCGCGUGGAGGAUGAAGGUUUUCGGAUUGUAAACUCCUUUUGUUAGAGAAGAUAAUGACGGUAUCUAACGAAUAAGCACCGGCCAACUCCGUGCCAGCAGCCGCGGUAAUACGGAGGGUGCAAGCGUUACUCGGAAUCACUGGGCGUAAAGAGCGCGUAGGCGGGAUAGCAAGUCAGAUGUGAAAUCCUAGGGCUUAACCAUAGAACUGCAUUUGAAACUGUUAUUCUAGAGUAUGGGAGAGGUAGGUGGAAUGCUUGGUGUAGGGGUAAAAUCCGUAGAGAUCAAGAGGAAUACUCAUGGCGAAGGCGACCUGCUAGAACAUAACUGACGCUGAUGCGCGAAAGCGUGGGGAGCAAACAGGAUUAGAUACCCUUGUAGUC
rnacentral:rRNA from 1 species